rnacentral:misc_RNA from 1 species
AAGUCGUAACAAGGUUUCCGUAGGUGAACCUGCGGAAGGAUCAUUACCAAUCCAAAACUGUGGGGUGACUGUAGCGUAGUAGUGCUGGCAACAGUGCUGCUGUCUGCAUGAUCCACUCAACCACAAACACAUUGUGAACCAGUGACUGCUUGUGUUCCUUUGGGAAUGUGUGCAGCCUUUGGCUGAAGCUAGCGAGAUAUAGCAAUGACAAAGUCUUGUACUGCGUCUGAGAUAUAUUAUAAUGCGAACCUUUAGCCGAGGGACCUAUAAACAACCAUAUACUUUAUACUUACAGUCUUAAACAUACAAUAUACUAUAAACUAAUACAACCUUUAACAAUGGAUCUCUUGGUUCCC